rnacentral:tRNA from 1 species
GGGGCUGUGGCUCAUUGGUAGAGCGCUCACCUUGCAUGUAUGAGGCUCUGGGUUCCAUCCUCAGCACCACA